GUGGUUGUGGCUCAGAGGUAGAGAGCUCACCUACCAUGUGUGAGGCACUGGGUUUGAUCCUUAGCACCACA
rnacentral:tRNA from 1 species